UACGUAGGGUGCAAGCGUUGUCCGGAAUUAUUGGGCGUAAAGAGCUCGUAGGCGGUUUGUCGCGUCGAAUGUGAAAACCCGGGGCUCAACCCCGGGCCUGCAUUCGAUACGGGCAGACUAGAGUUCGGUAGGGGGAGUCUGGAAUUCCUGGUGUAGCGGUGAAAUGCGCAGAUAUCGGGAGGAACACCGGGUGGCGAAGGCGGGACUCUGGGCCGAUACUGACGCUGAGGAGCGAAAGCGUGGGGAGCGAACAGG
rnacentral:rRNA from 1 species